rnacentral:lncRNA from 1 species
CCAGCCCCCUCCGCAUCCCAGCGCCCUGCUUACAGCCCCACGUCUCGCCUGCGCCGAGCACCUCCGAGCCGUCCGCCGCCCGCCCUGCGCGCCGAGUGCCGCCGCCGCCAGCAGGGGCCAUUCCGGGCACCCAAGGUGGACUCCGACCAAUCAUGACCUCCUAUGAUGCAGAGCAAUUACAGAGCCUGGGAGGCGGCGAGGAUGAGGACUCAGAGCAGAGGCCGUCACAAGGAACACUGGUUAUCAAGCCAAGCAAUCACGGUGAACACACCGGAGAACUAGUCAUGGAUUAGCCUCCAGCAAAGGAAGGCCCUGGUGUCAUAUCCUGGACCAGGAUCCAGUUUUCUAGUUUAAAGUUGGUAUCACAUGGAUUCACUCAUUCAUGGAUUCAUUCAUUCAUUCACUCAUUCAUUCCAUUCAUUCAUUCAAAUCUACCACAUGCUAAGUAGGCACAGUUCUAGGUGCUGGAAAUAGAGCUGCGAAGGAGACAAAAUCCCUGCCUUGAAGGAGCUGGCUUCUCCUAAGGAGCACAUGAUUAUCUUUGUAGGUGUCGUGUGGUUUCAAUACCCUCCUUUGUUAAGUGAAGGGGUUGGCCUAGUCGAAUAGUUGCCCACCCUCUCUGCUGCUCAUAAUCGCCGUGGAAGUUAAAAGAAUCAAGAGCUGAGGCUCCAUCUCGGACCUCCUGGUCAGACUCUGGGGGAGGAGUGCUGGCAGAGGUACCUGCUAGAAGCUUCUCAGGGGACAGAGGAAGUGAGGGUUGAGAACCUGCCUGUAGAUCUCUAAGAUCCUUCUAGCUUAUUCCGCUGUGGAGAGUCCUGGAAACCAAGCAAGCCUUCGUGGAAGAGAGGCUGUAUUUAGGUUUUAAAGAAAGGCCAAGGAUAUACACUAGCAGGGUGGAACGGAAUGGAAUCCCAAGUGCAGCUUCUUUUGAUCAAUUAGCUUUUCUUUGCUAUAAAGUCAAAGGAAGGCACUUUUGAGGAUAAGGCAUAGACUUGCGCACAUCUUUCCUCUAUAAAAGAGGGACUGAGGCCCGGUGGAAGGAGAUAAUGGCGGAGAGGCACUGCUAGCAGUUAAGACGCUAAUUGAACCACGCGCAUGCGCUUCAGAUGGUCGAUGCGCGGGAGACAGGAGCUGGGAGAGCCCUUCGAUAAUUUCCCAUCAACUUGGGAAUUUAUCUAACCACCAGGCCUCAUUCUGUCGCUGGCUCACACCCAUUAUUUUGAAAUGGAUGAUAAGGCGAGUCCCGGAUGCCUAAUACCCUGGGAAAUGCCGUUUCCUGUCGCCAGAACCCUGCUGUGGUCAUGAUGUUUUCUUUUUCUCUAAGGCUAUGAUGAUGAAACGGAUGUGUGACCUCUUAGUUGUAGUCACUGGUGGGCGGAGACGCUUCUUAACAUCAAAAAAUCAGCACUAAGAAAAUGAUCUCUGCCUCAAAUUAUAAUAUCCAAGUGCCGGGACAAACUGGUUUUUACAAAAUGUUUGACCAUCUUUAACUUGAUCUCUGUAUAAAUCAAAUAGCUUAAAUCAGUUAACAAAAGAUAAACUACUAAAAUCAAGAACUAUAAAUUAAUACAAGAAUAGCUAACAAUUAUUGUAAAGUUAUUUUAAUAUAACAGUGGAACAGAUUAGCAUCUAGAAACAGAUCCAAUUACAUGUGGGCCUUAAUAAACACAAGAAUGGCAUUUUAA